GGAGGCUCGAGGGCGGCAGCUGAAGGGCAAGAGCCGCCUUCUCAAAGGUGCCCCGUCCACCUCCCGGCGUUGGAAUAAGGUCAAAUCAGACGCCCCGGGCCUGUCUGGAGCCCAAGGCCCAUGCCCUACUGAGCACCACUCACCUGAAGCCGCCAUGUUGGGAAGAGGAGAGAAGGCAAAAGGCCCGGAUGCGGCCGUCACGUGAUUAUAGCGAAAGAGGCACCUCCUUCUCCUCUGAGGGGGGCGUAUGCAAAAAGAAGGAGGGGAAGUGGGGCGGAGCGAGCGAGAAGCCGAUUAGGCGGAUUGGUUCUGCGAUUCUCAGUUUGGAGGAGGAGGUAGCAUCACGUAGAACAACGCUUCCGAGGUCGAAUCUACUUUCUAAAAGUGGAGGAUUGAUCCCCGCCGGCAUCUCCACCUAUAAAAGGACCCCAAGACGGCAGGGUUGGUGGGACGCGGAGGUCGCUAUUGUCGGUGGUGUGUUUUUAACUUAGCGCGUAUCCCACUUUACUGGCUCUACAACCUAUUUCUGAUGCAGUUUUAGAUCAAGCCUAAAAGAAUCACAGUCUUACACCAUAUUUCUGCUCCAGGAGCUAGAGGGAGCCCCAGCUGAUGAAGUGUCAAGGCCCCAGCUGACAAAGCAUCAAGGCGAGUUAAGCAGCAGAGCGAAAAGAGGUCUUCAUCAACCAGUGUGCUGAUGGAAGUUGUGAUCCAGAACAUCUGAAAGACUGGGGAAGGCUAAUUGGAAUGAUCUUAAGUCCAUGUUAUCCGCAAAGCUCUCCUCCAACAACACAUUUCAAAUGAGUUGAUUUUUCUCUAACCUUUGCCACAUCGUAGGACUUCAUUAUGUAUACAAACAAAAAAGAAGGCAGGGAUCAAUUAUUGGCAUAUUUACACAUUUGGAAUACAUGAAUAAUAUGCAAUAUAAUGCAAACUGUAGAUGUAAACCCAAUCCAUUGAAGGCAGCUUGCUCCACCCAAAAGAAGCUGUAAACUCUUAACUCUGAGUGGCAUUGUUUUUGAAAAUGAUGUAUGGAAUAAUCUGUUGAAUAUAUGUAAGGUAACAGAGAAAAUGUUAUAGAUGUUUUUAAUUUUGUUGUGAAUAUAUAAGGAAAA